AUUACUGGGUAACUGCCAUUAUCAUUAUCAGCAUUACUAGUAACAAUGACGCUCUUAAACAUUAACAACAAUAAUUACUACUACUACAUUAAUAGCAUCCUCAAAGAUAGCCAUGGAUUCAGUCAUUCUUUGUGCUUCGGGUUCAGUCGUUCGUCUGGGCUUCGCAGUUCACGCAGAGCUGAGCUAGGAGAGAAGAUUCAAGAUGGCGGACAGCUAGACCCGACAUCAGGUUUCUCUCUACAGUGCUCCCAAUACUUCUGCCUCAGGAGCUACCGUCACUCUUCAAACACAACAGGGACGUUAUGUUUGCUGGCCAACCCCGUGACCGGUGCCCUAACCACUGGUCGCGUGACCUAGUAUACUGAGAGGUCAGUCCAUGGUAAUGAAGGAAGAGGCGCUGGGAGGAGGGACGCAUCAUCGUUACGCGCAUCAGCAGCUCGCAGUGGGGAGAGGGAGCGCGCUGAGGGGAAGCCAGGAAUCCAUGUCUUGUUCUAACCUGGCUUGGGAGAAAUCGGAAGGCGCAACAUGACAAAAGAGACGGGCGAAGGACACUACUUAUGUAAAAAAAAAAAAAAAAAAAAACAGCAAAAAAGCCCGUUUAGUUUACCUAAACGGUAAAAAAAAUACUAGUAGUGAAUAAAGUAAAGUAAUAUUGAUUAAGAAAUAAAA